CUCUGCAGUAAUACGUACACCAGCGUACAGUCUAUGUUACAAGUAAUACGUACACUGCAGGGUACAGUCUAUUACUAAUAUGUACACCAGUGUAAGUAUAGUUUAUCUCACAUCAGUGUACAGUCUGUCUCACAAGUAAUAUGUACACCAGUGUAAGUCUAGUGUAUCUCACGACAUCAGUGUACAAUCUGUUCUAACAAGUAACACCAGACAACUCACAUCUCACAAUCACAAGGCGUGUGCGCGCCUGGUGAGAACAAAUGUGUGUGUCCCAAACCGAUUGGUUGAAUCUAGUCUUUUCCGCUGCAAUCAAGAACACAAUGGACACUGGAUUUAACAACAAAUGGACCAAAAUAUUUAAGGUUGUUCAAAACAGUGACGCCUGCAGAUAUUGGAAAACAUUGGGUAGGUCCUUACGGCUGAGUUAUUCAGAUAUAAAUGCCAUCGAGCAUGACAAUCCUCUACAACUGAAGGAGCAGUGCUUUGAAAUGUUAAACCAAUGGACACAAGUCUUUGGCGCAGCAGCUUCACCAGAAGUAUUAAUUGACGCUCUGAGAAGUGAGAAUUUCAAUAAAACAGCAGCAAUGGACACUGGAUUUAACAACAAAUGGACCAAAAUAUUUAAGGUUGUUCAAAACAGUGACGCCUGCAGAUAUUGGAAAACAUUGGGUAGGUCCUUACGGCUGAGUAAUUCAGAUAUAAAUGCAAUCGAGCAUGACAAUCCUCUACAACUGAAGGAGCAGUGCUUUGAAAUGUUAAACCAAUGGACACAAGUCUUUGGCGCAGCGGCUUCACCAGAAGUAUUAAUUGACGCCUUGAGAAGCGAGAAUUUCAAUAAAACAGCAGAAGAUGUGAUGGAUUGCCUGGAAUGAUUUGCUUUAGGCAGCUGAUUCGGUUUGCAGGUUUUGAAAAACACCGCUCAAGGAAUUUCGGCCUCAUUCACACAGUCUCAUCAAACAUGUUUUCCAUGAAGCCAAACCUGGCUUUGUGGAAUAUGCCUCUGGGCCCUACUUUGUGACCAGCAGAUGACAGACAUUUCAGUCAGCCUCAUCUAGUCCAAAGCACAAUCAGGCAAUUCCAGAUGGUACACUUAUAAAGGGAUGGGUUGAAAACUUCAGGCGCAGAUUUAAUGAGUAAAUAGGUACACUUAUACAUCCCUAUUGGAUUGAUUAAAUAACGGCUCACGGGUUAAAAUUUCACAAUCUGGAUUUAAAUCUGCGUACACCCUUCUCAACAAGCGGAUAACUUGUAAUAUCAUCUUGGGAGACGCCGUACUAGCGCCGCACAGUAACUCAGGAGCCUCUCGCCAGUGCGAUCGUGGUGAAAAAAUAAUUUCUUUCAUAAUUUUUUCCGUCAUGAUACAGCUGACGGUCAAAUGAUCAUUUUGUCUUCUCGGAUACCUUUGGUCUAAUGUGGAUCUCAGAAUGUACAUAAACGUUAAAAUCUCCUUUGGGACCGGUAUCGGCUAUUUGGACGAUAUGGCAACAAUACUUUGAGGAAAAAAUGAAAAGUUCAACUCUAAAACACAUUUUAAAAUUAAAAUUUAUUUGAACUAUAAUGUGAUUUGCUCAACGUUAUAAGUUUUUAUUUGCUAGAAACAAUACAUUCCAAAUGCACUGGCAAAGGAACUCCAAAUGGAGCCAUAUGAGAAGUUGAACUUCAGUAUCAACGUACGACUAUUAGUAAACAAAGCAACUUUUCAUAGUUUUAUUUUCAAAAUAAACCAUCAUAAAUUUGAAUAAUUACAUUGUUAAAAUUUUCCUUUAAACGUUUACUGCAAAGUCUGCAGCUGAGCUGCACCCUAUUCAGUGAAGUUUCACUUCACAUAAAAGUAUAAGUUUACUGUUGUUAUAUAUUUAUUUAUUUAUUUAUUUGAUCGUUGUUUACGCCCUAAGUUAUGUUAUGUAAAGGUUUACAUUUAUUUUGGUAAAUUUUUACCGGUCAUGAGUAAAAUAUUUCUGAAACAUUUACUCAAAAAAUGCAGCCUAGAUUUGUAGCCCUCUUGAAUGCGUACAUAAUGUGGAUAUUUAAUAUACAUAAUUUAAAAAACACAGGCGUUUUACAUGGCCGAAUGUAAACAUUCAGCUGUUUGGGUGGAAGUGAAUGGAAUGCAGCUGUACCUGAAGAUCUACACGUGUACUGACUGCUGUACUAUAACAAUACUACUUAUAAGGUAUUUCAAGUAAAAAGUUCAUAUUAUAAAUGUGGAAUGUAUUCUGUGAAAGGUAAACAUUUAAACAAUAUGUAAAACAUAUAUUGUAAUGGCCGAACGUUCACUUAAAAAGUCUACAGUGUGUGCAUGUUAAACCAAACACAAACGGCAUCUGAUGGUCAGGAUGCCAGAGAUUUUCGUUCCGUGCGUCCUAUGAACGGGAGCGGUUGAAAAUCUGUACACAAUAUAGGUUUCUUUAAGAAAUAGUCCACAUCUUAAGGACCUUACUCUACAAUAAAUCACUUUGAAAACAUAAAAAAAUUAUUAUUUUAAAAAUGCACUAGCGUGUUUACCAUGCGGCGUUUAGUAAAAUAUUUAGGAACAGGUUAUUGUUUUCUAUGUAGGAAAUUCGCGAUUGUUAAUGAUAGCUUUCAAGACCUUGUCCAUGCAUUUCUGACUUAUGUAUUUAUCAGUCCUUUGCUACAUGUAGCCUACCUCCGAAUACUUGCUUUAAAAACUGGCAUUACAAUUUACAUGUAUGAAUCUAAUUUGUGGCUAAGUUUUGCUGUGAGACACUCUUACGAAGAAGGAAGAUCUGCCUCAGUUUAAACACUUCGUAUAGUUGUCAUGGUUGUGUUGCCCGUCAUGGUCAGGUAGGCAUACAUAUUCGUCACAUGUGUCAAACCAGGAAGGGAUUUCCUCAUUGUGGAAACGAGACGCUUUUGCCAGGAGAAUUCCCAAGCGAUUGCGCUCUUGCAAUCUUAAAGUUUGAAUGUAGCGCCACUGUCUGGAGAAUCUCUCAGUGAAUGAAACAGCGGCAAGUUGAGCAAUGGAGGUGGCCUCGGACCCCCAUUAAUUUUCCAUAAGCGACAAUGUUAACGUCUAGCACUGUAGCUCAGUCCCAAACAUUCCGUGGCCAACAAACUUUGGUGCAUACCUGGCCCAACCUGUGAGAAAGAAGCCAUAAAAAUCUUGACAUAGGUUGACCGUCAAAAUCUGAACCUUUCCAUGCCGGCAGCUGGGAGGCGUGCCUAGCAACGCCAAGGGGACGUCACUCGCAGCCUCAUCACUACCUCACACCUUGUGUCCUCUCACCCAGAAUUUCAAACUUUCAUCAAUAAAGCUCAUACCGCCUCAAAGUUUAGACAGUUUCCAGCAUUUUAAUACCAAGCAUGCACCUGUGCACCAAAAAUGGACGCCUGGGAGCAAAAAAAGACUUUAUACCCUAAAAUUCACAGAACUACAAUCGUCCCUACCGAAAAACGGAAGUUGUAAUGGGGGUCUGUGUCCAGGUAGUCAGUACUAUGUUGUCACACCAGGGGAGGUAACUAGGGUCUAGGCACUGAACUAGUUGCAAAGUCAAGUGUGCAGUCGUCAAGCAAGGUGCAUGCUGGUACAGUAAUCUGUCCGAUUUAUAAGAGAAGUGGUCUAACCGCGUGUCAGUUCCCCGUGAACAGCUCCUGUUUGAACGAAAACCUGUAUCCCUAAGACUGUGACUUUAUAUCCAGGACAAUGUCUGCAAACUUAGAUGUGAGCAAAAGUAUGCACGUGAAACUCUUCAUGACUAUCAAAGAGAACCUACGAAGUACAUCUCAGGAAUUUCAAGACUUCAAAAGGAUUAUUCCAUUGACACCACGGGAUAGAGAUCAAAACAGUGGCUCUGCUGAAGACUUAUUGGAAGUUUGGCAGAGACGGGGUGGAGUUUUCAUCGGCAAUUAUGACGAGCUAAUUAGAGUUCUACAUGAAGCUGGUCUUGAGGAACUCAAAACUAUUGUAAAAGAAAAGGUUGAGGCCAUUUAUCGGCAAAUAGAAUUAGAGAGACGAGCGGAGCGCAACCCGGUGGAACAUGCCCCUAACCCGCCAGAAUGAAAACGGUAAGACUGUUUUAAAAUUGCACUUUGUAAUUUCAGUGGCUUAAGUUCGUGCUAUACACCACGUAUACCGGUACCAACAUUAU